UUUUAUUAUAUGCUUUUGUGUUUCCCAUUGAAGGAUAACUGACUCAUUCAAACUAAAUCCUUUCUGUUUCCGGUGAUAAUGAGCAGUGUCCAUUUACUUAAAUACUCUUUCGUGGUUCUUAACUUAAGAAAUAAACGUUUGAAGGAGAAAAAGAAGCUGAAAGCUAAAAUCAUCGUCAAGGAAAAACAUGAAUAUGAGUCCGCUGUAAGCGAUGAUUGUCCUGUAAUACUAACCCAACUGCUGUGAGUCACUGAAGGUCCAGCGUUAUCACAGGGUAACAAGUACACACACACACACACACACACAUUGAACCAGGGGGGCAGUGGAGAGAGAUAAGAGAGAGAGUCAUGCCUCGCCUGCGUGACCGUGACAUCACGGCUGUAUCCGUGUGCUCACUGUCGCCCCGUGCUGGAAACACACUGGCCUAAUAUAGCCAGUGUGGGCCGUGCCGUGCGCACACACACACACACACACGCACACUGGGGCAAGCCGGUUUGUCCUUGGUUGGUUGACAGCAUGUGUUUCUACGGAGGUGUGUGUUUAAGUGUGUGUUUGUCGGUGUGCGUGUGUGUGCCAUUUUAGUGAAUGAACUGACGUCGCUGUUGCGUCUGUCCUUGUCCAUCAUCAGAGACAGGUGCCUCUAAGGCAGACUGUCCAUGCUGCCUCUGUGUGUGUGUGUUUGUGUUAUUAAGUGAUCAUUAAAAAAUUCAUAAUUAAAAACCUUUUUCAGAAAUUUAAGACAUUUUUUUUCGAAUUAAUCAUAUAAAUACAACAGUGACAAAUAGUUUCAAUUUGUGCAUUUUGUGUCCUUUCCAUGGAAACAGAAUGCAGCAAUGCAAUUUCUGGGACAAUUUGAAGGACGUUUACUCGAUAUCAAUGUUUUAUCCGUCUCUCUGACGGGAUAGAAGUGUAUUCCCUCAGUUGGAGUUACUCUGUAACACCGGACACGUUACGUAACAGCUUACUAGCAGAUGUCUCAAUAUGAACAAAUUAGCGCUGUCAGCGUUAACGCGUCUAAAAUACACGUU
ensembl:lncRNA